rnacentral:misc_RNA from 1 species
UCACUACUUGCGUAGGCAGUCUGGCUAGAGUCCCCACCACUACGUGCUGGUAACUAACCACAGGGGUUGCGCUCGUUGCGCCACUUAAGGCAACACCUCACGGCACGAGCUGACGACAGCCAUGCAGCACCUUCCAUGAUGCCUCGAAGGGAAACCCCCUUUCAGGGGCUGUCAGAUAGCAUUCGAGCCUGGGUAAGGUUCUUCGCGUUGCAUCGAAUUAAGCCACAUGCUCCACCGCUUGUGCGGGCCCCCGUCAAUUCAUUUGAGUUUUAACCUUGCGGCCGUACUCCCCAGGCGGUCUACUUAGUGCGUUAGCUGCGCCACCAAAACCUCAAGGGUCCCGACGGCUAGUAGACAUCGUUUACGGCGUGGACUAC